rnacentral:rRNA from 1 species
UCCGUAGGUGGAUAAUUAAGUCAGAGGUGAAAUCCUGCAGCUCAACUGUAGAAUUGCCUUUGAUACUGGUUAUCUUGAGUUAUUAUGAAGUAGUUAGAAUAUGUAGUGUAGCGGUGAAAUGCGUAGAUAUUACAUAGAAUACCAAUUGCGAAGGCAGAUUACUAACAAUAUAUUGACACUGAUGGACGAAAGCGUGGGGAGCGAACAGGAUUAGAUACCCUGGUAGUC